GUGUCCCCUAGAGUUCCCCUUAAUGCUUCAUUGAGGAUUCUGUUUAGGUCCAAUUUAACUAGUCCCUACUGAAGUGUUUGGGGGAACUCCGGGUGUCAC
rfam:Glycine soja cultivar W05 scaffold836_8, whole genome shotgun sequence.